UGUUGACAUGCUUUUUGUUGAUUUAUUCUUCAAGUUCAUGGCACCACCUGGCUGGACAGAUGGGAUGGAUCUAGAGACUGCCAAACAGAUCGUCACCCCAUUCCUCCUACUGAUCCUCUGAAUCAGGCAACAACAGUGUUUGAAGACUGAAACUGAAAUAAUUCAAAUGUGUCUUUGUAGUCAGGAGCCAGCGAGAUUGACUUCAUUUUGGAAGAGUAUCUGGGGAAUGGAGAGGACAUGUUGAAAAACAGGGAUGCAUUUACAGAAGUCUUUGCGGAUGUAGUCUUCAAUAUACCUGCCAUCAAGCUAUCAAAAGCUCACAGAGAUUCUGGUGCACCUACAGUAUAUACAUGUAUGAGUUCCAGCAUCCUCCAAGAUUCCUUUCGUACAAGCGCCCAAGCUUUGUCAAAGUAGACCACGGAGAUGAACUUGCCUUUGUCUUUGGAGGCUGCUUCACAAAAGGCCAUGUCAAGAUAAAAUGGUUCGUUCACUGAAGAGGAAGACGAGCUUUGUACGACAGUCGUCAUACCGGGGCAACUUCGCUCGCAC